rnacentral:rRNA from 1 species
GACGAACGCUGGCGGCGUGCUUAACACAUGCAAGUCGAACGAAGAGCGACGGAAGCUUGCUUCUAUCAAUCUUAGUGGCGAACGGGUGAGUAACGCGUAAUCAACCUGCCCUUCAGAGGGGGACAACAGUUGGAAACGACUGCUAAUACCGCAUACGAUCUAAUCUCGGCAUCGAGGAGGGAUGAAAGGUGGCCUCUACAUGUAAGCUAGCACUGAAGGAGGGGAGUGCGUCUGAUUAGCUAGUGGGAGGGGGAACGGCCCACCAAGGUGAUGAUCAGUAGCCGGUCUGAGAGGAGGAACGGCCACAUUGGGACUGAGACACGGCCCAGACUCCUACGGGAGGCAGCAGUGGGGAAUCUUCCGCAAUGGACGAAAGUCUGACGGAGCAACGCCGCGUGAGUGAUGACGGCCUUCGGGUUGUAAAGCUCUGUUAAUCGGGACGAAAGGCCUUCUUGCGAAUAGUGAGAAGGAUUGACGGUACCGGAAUAGAAAGCCACGGCUAACUACGUG